GACGUAGGGCGCGAGCGUUGUCCGGAUUUAUUGGGCGUAAAGAGCUCGUAGGCGGCCUGUCGCGUCCGUUGUGAAAACUCGAGGCUCAACCUCGGGCUUGCAGUGGAUACGGGCAGACUAGAGUGCGGUAGGGGAGACUGGAAUUCCUGGUGUAGCGGUGGAAUGCGCAGAUAUCAGGAGGAACACCGAUGGCGAAGGCAGGUCUCUGGGCCGCAACUGACGCUGAGGAGCGAAAGCAUGGGGAGCGAACAGG
rnacentral:rRNA from 1 species